AGGGAAUAUUGGGCAAUGGAGGCAACUCUGACCCAGCCAUGCCGCGUGAAGGAUGACUGUCCUAUGGAUUGUAAACUUCUUUUGUUAGGGACGAAACCCUUGGAUUCAUCCGAGGCUGACGGUACCUAAAGAAUAAGCACCGGCUAACUCCGUGCCAGCAGCCGCGGUAAUACGGAGGGUGCAAGCGUUAUCCGGAUUCACUGGGUUUAAAGGGUGCGUAGGUGGAUCAGUAAGUCAGUGGUGAAAGCCCCGGGCUCAACUUGGGAAUUGCCAUUGAUACUGCUGGUCUUGAGUUCGGUUGAGGUAGGCGGAAUAAGUCAUGUAGCGGUGAAAUGCUUAGAUAUGACUUAGAACACCGAUUGCGAAGGCAGCUUACCAAGCCGACACUGACACUGAGGCACGAAAGCGUGGGGAUCAAAC
rnacentral:rRNA from 1 species